rnacentral:rRNA from 1 species
GCUAAAAACCUAGCUCAAAUUUACGCAAAUGCCACAACCAAACAACUGUAACUAAACAAAACAUUUUUAAAUUUUUAGUAAAGGCGAUUGAAAAAUAUCUAGAAGCUAUAACAAUAGUACCGCAAGGGAAAAGUGAAAUAAAAGUGAAAUAACUUUAAAGCAAGACUAAGCAGAGAUUUAACCUCGUACCUUUUGCAUCAUGGUCUAGCUAGUUCAACCAAGCAAAACGCAAUUGUAGUUUGACACCCCGAAACUAGGUGAGCUACUUCAAAACAGCCUUUAAGGGCCAACCCGUCUCUGUUGCAAAAGAGUGGGAAGAUUUUCAAGUAGAGGUGACAGACCUACCGAACCUAGAGAUAGCUGGUUAUUCAGGAAAAGGAUUUAAGUCCUACCUUAAGUUUUUUUAUACUAUAAAAUAUAACAAUAAACUUAAGAGCUAUUCAAAUAAGGUACAGCCUAUUUGAAACAGGAAACAACCUUAAACACAGGGUAAUGAUAUCCUAAACGUGACCAAGUGGGCCUAAAAGCAGCCAACUUUUAAACAGCGUUAAAGCUUCAUCACUUUAUUUAACUAAUAACAUUAACAUUACAAAACCCUUCACCACUACUGAAUGACUCCAUAACCAUAUGGAGAACACUAUGCUAGAACUAGUAACAAGAAGAAGACCUCCUCCAAAAUGUAAGUGUAAGCCAAAAUGAACAACUCACUGGCACUUAUCGUCUCUGAACUUAAAGUAGUAACUUCACAAGAAAAAUUCUACUCCCCAUAAACGUUAACCUUACACCAGAACAUUACCGGAAAGAUUUAAAAAAGAGGAAGGAACUCGGCAAAUUUUAACCCCGCCUGUUUACCAAAAACAUCGCCUCCUGAAAWAACUAUAGGAGGUCCAGCCUGCCCAGUGACAAAGUUAAACGGC